rfam:Ictidomys tridecemlineatus contig107384, whole genome shotgun sequence.
GUGGUUAUGGCUUAGUGGUAGAGCACUCCCCUAACAUGGGUGAGGCACUGGGUUCCAUCCUCAGCACCACA